GAUGAACGCUGGCGGCGUGCCUAAUACAUGCAAGUCGAGCGAACGGACGAGAAGCUUGCUUCUCUGAUGUUAGCGGCGGACGGGUGAGUAACACGUGGAUAACCUACCUAUAAGACUGGGAUAACUUCGGGAAACCGGAGCUAAUACCGGAUAAUAUUUUGAACCGCAUGGUUCAAAAGUGAAAGACGGUCUUGCUGUCACUUAUAGAUGGAUCCGCGCUGCAUUAGCUAGUUGGUAAGGUAACGGCUUACCAAGGCAACGAUGCAUAGUCGACCUGAGAGGGUGAUCGGCCACACUGGAACUGAGACACGGUCCAGACUCCUACGGGAGGCAGCAGUAGGGAAUCUUCCGCAAUGGGCGAAAGCCUGACGGAGCAACGCCGCGUGAGUGAUGAAGGUCUUCGGAUCGUAAAACUCUGUUAUUAGGGAAGAACAUAUGUGUAAGUAACUGUGCACAUCUUGACGAUACCUAAUCAGAAAGCCACGGCUAACUACGUG
rnacentral:rRNA from 1 species